rnacentral:rRNA from 1 species
UUUCGCAAUGCCCGAAAGGGUGACGAAGCGACGCCGCGUGCGGGAAGAAGGCCUUCGGGUUGUAAACCGCUGUCGGGAGUUAAGAAAUGUAAGGAUGUUAAUAGCAUCUUUGCUUGACUAAGGCUCCGGAGGAAGCCAUGGCUAACUCUGUGCCAGCAGCCGCGGUAAUACAGAGGCGGCAAGCGUUGUUCGGAAUUAUUGGGCGUAAAGAGCACGUAGGCGGCUAUGUAAGUCGGUUGUGAAAGCCUUCCGCUCAACGGGAGAACAGCAUCCGAUACUGCAUGGCUUGAGUGCGGGAGGGGAGAGUGGAACUUCUGGUGGAGCGGUGAAAUGCGUAGAUAUCAGAAGGAACGCCGGCGGCGAAAGCGGCUCUCUGGCCCAUAACUGACGCUGAGUGUGCGAAAGCUAGGGGAGCAAACGGGAUUAGAUACCCCGGUAGUCCUAGCCGUAAACGAUGGGCACUAAGUAGAGGGGUUUUA